GGGAGUAGAUGUCUAUCUGGUGAGGACCCUGGACUUCAAAUCCAGUGGCAGGCGUUGACCCGUCUGUGGUGGGUUCGAUUCCCACCUACUCCCGCCA
rnacentral:tRNA from 1 species